AAUUUGACUCGAUCGAAUACUGACCCGAGUAACAUUAACGAAGGGAGCCCGUUACAACCGCCACCAAUAAGCCUAAACGGUGCCAUAAAUAUUGUCUUUGAAAAUUAAAACCAUAAACAGAAGCAGCAGAAAAAGAAAAAGCAAACUGGCCUAAAAACUUAACCCCGAAGGAAAAACCUAACCAAAACAAAAGAAAAUGAAACGGCCUCCCCAUUCUUCAAAACCCAAGUACCGCCAUACCGGAGUAAAACACGAGCUCCGAUCCCCAUCCACAGGCGAUGGCAUUUUCCUUCAUUGCGCUCAAUUUGCUCCUGCAUUCCUAUUCUUACCAGAUUCCAAAAAUUAUUGAUUCCUCCGACACUAGAAAUGUUGUCUCAAUCCCGCUAAUUCAUGAUCCGUUGGUCCCGAUCUGCUUCCGUUUCCACCGCCACCUGAGCUUCCUCAAUCCAGACCCUAUGCCCCUCAAAUCUCCAACCCUCUACCGCCAGCGUGUGCGCUGCUCAGUUCCCCUGUCGAGGUAUGAAAUUAUACUCCACUGAAUCAAAGUUUUGGGCCCUAACUCUAAUCUCCUUAAUCAACACACUAAUAGCCAAUCUAUCCUCUACAUGGACCCGUAACUUCUUCAUAAUUGUCAAAGAAUCACCCUCCACCACCACCUCCCGAAAUCCUAACUCGUUCAACAAAAUCACAGCACUGAGGCACGCCCUUGCCUCUGCGACCAUUGUGUCAGCCAAAUGCUCGAAUGGGAAAAUGGCACCAUCAAGUCACUCGGUACCUGGACCGUAACCGGGCAUUCACGAAAUAAGCGCUCGACCGUCUUAGCUCCAUGACAAACUCGACAGCAACUCUCCACUGCCACUCUUCUAGCUACUAGAUUACUUAAAAUAGGGAUAAAAUUGUUAGCAACUUUCUAGAUAGAGGUACUCAUGGGAUGGGCCAGUUCGUUACAGUUCGGGUUGGGCUCAACUAAAAUUUUAGGUUUGUAUGCUAAGCCUAAGCUUGACCCAGCCUAAAAAAUGGGCUUAAAAUUUUGUCGAAAUUUGACCUGAUAAAAAUGUUAAAAUCCA